GACAGAGGUGCCAAGCGUUAGGCGGAAUCACUGGGCUUAAAGCGUGUGUAGGCGGAUGCCUAAGUACCUUGUGAAAUCCCACGGCUCAACCGUGGAACUGCUUGGUAUACUGGGUGUCUUGAGCCAUCUAGGGGCUACCGGAACAAAUGGUGGGAGUCGGUGAAAAUGCGUAGAUAUCAUUGGAACGCCAAUGGUGAAAACAGGUAGCUGGGGAUGUGCUGACGCUGAGACACGAAAGCCAGGGGAGCAAACGGGG
rnacentral:rRNA from 1 species